rnacentral:rRNA from 1 species
GACGAACGCUGGCGGCGUGCUUAACACAUGCAAGUCGAACGCUGAAGCUCAGCUUUUGUUGGGUGGAUGAGUGGCGAACGGGUGAGUAACACGUGAGUAACCUGCCCCCUUCUUUGGGAUAACGCCCGGAAACGGGUGCUAAUACUGGAUAUUCACUGGUCUUCGCAUGGGUGUUGGUGGAAAGGGUUUUUCUGGUGUGGGAUGGGCUCGCGGCCUAUCAGCUUGUUGGUGGGGUGAUGGCCUACCAAGGCUUUGACGGGUAGCCGGCCUGAGAGGGUGACCGGUCACAUUGGGACUGAGAUACGGCCCAGACUCCUACGGGAGGCAGCAGUGGGGAAUAUUGCACAAUGGGCGCAAGCCUGAUGCAGCGACGCCGCGUGAGGGAUGGAGGCCUUCGGGUUGUGAACCUCUUUCGCUCAUGGUCAAGCCGCAACAAUGGUUGUGGUGAGGGUAGUGGGUAAAGAAGCGCCGGCUAACUACGUG